rnacentral:rRNA from 1 species
AUUGAACGCUGGCGGCAGGCCUAACACAUGCAAGUCGAGCGGAUGAAGGGAGCUUGCUCCUGGAUUCAGCGGCGGACGGGUGAGUAAUGCCUAGGAAUCUGCCUGGUAGUGGGGGAUAACGUCCGGAAACGGGCGCUAAUACCGCAUACGUCCUGAGGGAGAAAGUGGGGGAUCUUCGGACCUCACGCUAUCAGACGAGCCUAGGUCGGAUUAGCUAGUUGGUGGGUAAAGGCCUACCAAGGCGACGAUCCGUAACUGGUCUGAGAGGAUGAUCAGUCACACUGGAACUGAGACACGGUCCAGACUCCUACGGGAGGCAGCAGUGGGGAAUAUUGGACAAUGGGCGAAAGCCUGAUCCAGCCAUGCCGCGUGUGUGAAGAAGGUCUUCGGAUUGUAAAGCACUUUAAGUUGGGAGGAAGGGCAGUAAGUUAAUACCUUGCUGUUUUGACGUUACCAACAGAAUAAGCACCGGCUAACUUCGUG